GACGAACGCUGGCGGCGUGCUUAACACAUGCAAGUCGAACGGAAAGGCCCUGCUUGCAGGGUACUCGAGUGGCGAACGGGUGAGUAACACGUGGGUGAUCUGCCCUGCACUUCGGGAUAAGCCUGGGAAACUGGGUCUAAUACCGGAUAGGAGCCAUUUUUAGUGUGAUGGUUGGAAAGUUUUUUCGGUGUAGGAUGAGCUCGCGGCCUAUCAGCUUGUUGGUGGGGUAAUGGCCUACCAAGGCGGCGACGGGUAGCCGGCCUGAGAGGGUGGACGGCCACAUUGGGACUGAGAUACGGCCCAGACUCCUACGGGAGGCAGCAGUGGGGAAUAUUGCACAAUGGGCGCAAGCCUGAUGCAGCGGCGCCGCGGGGGGGAUGACGGCCUUCGGGUUGUAAACUCCUUUCGCUAGGGACGAAGCUUUUUGUGACGGUACCUAGAUAAGAAGCACCGGCUAACUACGUG
rnacentral:rRNA from 1 species